AGGAUGAACGCUGGCGGCGUGCUUAACACAUGCAAGUCACGGGGGUUUGAGGCGCAAGCCUUGAGCAACCGGCGAACGGGUGCGUAACACGUGAGCAACCUACCGAAAUGAGGGGGAUAGCCGGCCCAACGGCCGGGUAAUACCGCAUAAGCUUGAGACCAGGCAUUUGGUCUCAAGGAAACCUCCGGGCGGUUCGUAGGGCGUCGCGGCCUAUCAGCUAGUUGGCGGGGGUAAGUGGCUCACCAAGGCGGACGACGGGUAGCU
rnacentral:rRNA from 1 species